UCAUGGAUGAGAAUCAGUGCAACAGGAUGCUAAAAUACAACAUUAUGAAUAACAUUGUUAAUUAAAAUAAGAGUCUGUGGUCAUUUGUGGGGAAGGCAGGUUCUAAUCAGAGAUUUCGAAGUAUGAGUUUUCAUUUUGCUGAAUUCUCCGACAGAACAUCUUAUUCUCUGUAGGUGUGGAAGUCGUGGAAUCUGUUUGUGACUGUGUUUGGAACAAAGUGCUGAGGAGAAAUGUUAGGACUUAAGAUAGAUGAAGGAGGAAACUGGAGAAAUAGUUCAUAAUGAGGAAUUUCACAAUCUGGACUCUUCUCCUUAUAUUCUGAGUGCAAUAAAAUCAGAAAGUGAAUACUUUGAGGGAAGAGAUACAUUGUGAGAUGGCGUGAAUAACAAUAUAUGGUAACUCAACUAUUUAGACACAUUGUUCCCUGUCGAGCAUCAGGUUCAAUCACAGGUGACUUCAUGUGAGAUUUGUGGUGUACUGAGUGGUGUUGGCGUAGGUUUCCCCCCCAAGUUCCUUCAGUUUUCCCUACCAGUGCUUGCAUACUCAUCUGUCAGUGCAACUUUUAAGUGUAAUAGUUCUGACAAAGCAGUCUGUUGGUUGUCACAUCUGCAGUCUUUAAGUCUGGGGCUUCAUCUCUGAUCAUAUUCUUAGCUGGUUACAGAGUAAAGGAAUUGUUCUUAUAAUAUCUUAUUGAAAUAGAUGUGAACAGAACAGAGAUGGUUCAUAUUUAUGUUAAAUGACAUGCUUUCUUAUUAAUGUGCAAUGAGCCCCAAGGCUAUACCCAGACUCCAUGAUUGGGGCUCUGGCGUGUCUCAUCCUUACAAACCCUUAAAGAAGGGACCUGCAGAACUUGUUUUAGUUUUCACGCUACUUAAGACUGCAAUAAAAUCAUAAUAAACAUCUUUCUGGAGUUCAUAUACCUGCCCCCUGAACACCUUUUGUUUACAGAAAAUAUUUUAUUCCUUCCCAAAUCCCAAUGCUAAGGCUCCAAUGCAAGUUAUUGUUCAAAUUUAAAGCUUUUGUAGGAACUGGAGUGAGGCUGCCUGAUCACGUUCAGAAGGAGUAGCAAUGGGAUUAGUCUCUUACUGUUUAUCAGGGGAUGCAUGGGCCCUAAUUGCUUUGUCACUAUCUCUCUGGAAAGUAUGAGUUUAGAGGAAGAAGUGGGCUAUGUAUAAUUUAUGUAUAAGGGGUGGGCCUUCUCGGCCCUUGCACCGCGACCUACAGUGGUCUGUUGUGCUUAAGAAGUGGGAUAUGUCAGUAGGGUUGGUACAUGAGGCUUCCAAACUUCGUACCUCCCACUUAGAGACCAAAGUACCAAUCUGUGGAGAUGAGUGAUUGUUAUUCACUUAGGCCUUCUAAACCAAUCGAUGUUUGUGCUUUUUCUUGUGGAAUUCAGUGAAAGGGGGCAGUGGACAUCUGAUACCACAGAUCACCACUGGCCUCAGACUUACAGAUAACUUUUUAACAAGUCUGAUGCAGACGCCCUCACACUCUGAAAUCCAUUGGAAAUUCAAGAUAAACAGUACACAGUGAAUCGAACUUUUGCGAAACUAAUAUUAGUAAGUGAAUAAAGUGCUUGGAUGUAUUACAUUGCUAAUGGCUCUAAGAUGCAAGUGUUGUGUUCUGAGAUUUUGUGUGUUUAAACACUGUAAAUUUAAUUAAGUACAUUAAUACAAAUCUCAAGUCAUUCUUGGAAA